GAAAAGAAAACUCUGUCGUGUCUCCAUGUUAAAAUGAGUGGAAAUUGAACUUAGGGCGAUUUAGCAUGUGAUUACUUUUUUUAGACAGGAUUUUCUUCUUAGCUGAAUUGGAUUGUGUCUUUUUUCUCCCAAACCAGAUGUAAAAUUUAUGACACUGGAAGAGGAUGCAAACAGGACUGUAAUCCUACAAAACGGCUGAGUAACUUGGCCGAAUGGAAAGGUCUGAAGCUGAUGGCAUACUGCAUAGUAGGGAAACAGGAUGUGAUGGUGUACAAUCACUGAUUCCUCAUACGAGGAGGUACAAGGAAGAUUGCCCAAGCAGCCUUAUAGCUGUCAUUUCCAAGCAUUUAAGAGCUCUUUUGUAAGUUUGAUGUGCUUUCACCAUAGCAUUUGUCUGAGAAUUACAAUGUUGGAUGCACAGAGUCAUGCUGCUGCUUUGCCGAGAUGGUAAUACUCCACUUUAAACUGUGACCGAUUCCUCUGUUGGUGACUCUGGCUAUAUGCAGCUGGAAUGUGAUUAUUUGAAGCCCUUCUCGGUUCACACCUCAUCUACAGUCACUUCUGUUGAGUCACAUGAGGUUCACAUACAGAGAACCUGGCCCCCUAGCUUGUUUUCCAGCUUUACCAGAGGGAGAAAACCUAGUUCUUAACGUCUUCCACCAGAAAAAAUGUGACAGUCUUCUGCUUCGAUGAAUUGUCAUGGGGGAAAAAAGACACACAUGAGUUUGCAUCACAAAGCACUGUACUGUGUGACCUGUCAAGCUUUUCUCCCCAGUGAAAUUAUCAUUCAGUGGAAGGGUGGCAGAAGAGGGCCCUUAAAGCUAGAACUGCUUUUUUGAAAUGGAUCAGUAGUCAAGUUGGGGUGAUUUACUGUGCCUUUUAYUUGUGUAAUAGAUUACUGUUCUCUUUAUGCAAGGGGAAGUUUUGGAGGAGUUUGUUUCUCUGGCUAUAUGGAUAUUGAUGUUACCAUGCCAGGUGGUAGAAAACUGCAUCUGCAGAAGGACACGUAGUCCUGCUGAAUGCUGCUGCAUGGGCUGGCAGUCCCCGGAUGAUUCUAAUUGCAAUGUUGCCUUGUGACUGUGCCGAAUUAAGAAACAGAGCUGAGCUGAAAUUCCUGGACCGAAGGAUAUCACAGCUACUAGUAACUUCGGUGUUUUUUUCUUGCAUUUGUUUAAAACCAUAACUAAGUCUUUUUGCAUUGUAUGUGGUCAGUGUUUCUGAAAAAGUGCUAUUUCUUAGGUAUC
rnacentral:lncRNA from 1 species